rnacentral:rRNA from 1 species
UACGUAGGGGGCAAGCGUUGUCCGGAAUCAUUGGGCGUAAAGAGCGUGUAGGCGGCCCGAUAAGUCCGCCGUGAAAGUCCAGGGCUCAACCCUGGAAUGCCGGUGGAAACUGUCGGGCUAGAGUCCGGAAGAGGAGUGUGGAAUUCCUGGUGUAGCGGUGAAAUGCGCAGAUAUCAGGAGGAACACCAAUGGCGAAGGCAGCACUCUGGGACGUGACUGACGCUGAGACGCGAAAGCGUGGGGAGCAAACAGG